UACGUAGGGUGCGAGCGUUAAUCGGAAUUAUUGGGCGUAAAGGGCGCGUAGGCGGCCAUGCGUGUCUUCCGUGAAAUCCCUCGGCUUAACUGAGGACGUGCGGAAGAAACUGCAAGGCUCGAGUCCGGGAGAGGGGGGUGGAAUUCCCAGUGUAGCGGUGAAAUGCGUAGAUAUUGGGAGGAACACCGGUGGCGAAGGCGGCCCCCUGGACCGGAACUGACGCUGAGGCGCGAAAGCGUGGGUAGCAAACGGG
rnacentral:rRNA from 1 species